ACACUCUGGUUUCUCUUCAAAUCGUAUAAAUCUUUCGCCUUUUAGUAAAGAUUUCCGUGGAGUUAUAUCAAUAACUUAAAUAAUAAAUAAAUUUGGCGAGUUACUAAACCUACCUG